UACGGGAGGCAGCAGUGGGGAAUAUUGCGCAAUGGAGGAAACUCUGACGCASCCAUGCCGCGUGAGUGAAGAAGGCCUUAGGGUUGUAAAGCUCUUUCAGAUGUGAUGAUGAUGACAGUAGCAUCAAAAGAAGUUCCGGCUAACUUCGUGCCAGCAGCCGCGGUAA
rnacentral:rRNA from 1 species